AUAAGCAGUCCAAAGCCUGUGAUAGAUGGAGAAAAAGUGAUAUUAAGCUGUUCAACUGAAUGCACUCUGGAUAACAAACAUACUUACAUCUGGUAUAAGAAUGGACAACAGGUAACAGAUGGAUUGACAUUAUUAAACAAGUUGUACCUGGACUCAAUCAACAGUGAGGAGCUACAAGAGUAUUCCUGUACUGUAAGAGAUACAAUAGACAAAACAAAUGAAGCAGUGGACAGCUCAGUGUUUCUCUCUCUGUUGGUGUUUCUGCCUCAGUUUCUCAUCAUUGAAGCUCUGUGGAUGUGAUGUUGCAGGUCUGUGAGUAGAUCAGCUGUCUGUCCAUAGCUGUGUCUGAAACCGCUCCCUAUCCACUAUAUAGUGCACUAUAUCGGGUGUCGGCCAUUUUGUAGUGGUGUCCGAAACUUGAGUGAACAACUUCAUUCCCUACAUUCAUUCACUACUUGUUACCCACAAUGCACUCUGAUUUUGAGGGUGCAUUCGAUGUACACUCAUUCACUCAUAUUUCCCAUGAUGCAAUGGGAGACGAAUGCGUAACUUGUAUCAGCUGAAGGAUACUGACAGUAAACACCAAACAUUUAGGUUUAUAAUUUGUCAGUUAUUUUCUGCUUCUUUAAAAAUAAACAAAUGAAAAAUAAUUUUUGGUUAAAUAAAGAUAAAAACAUAAAAAAUACAUAUAAAUAGUUUAUUCUGAUUGGUCAGUAACUGUUUUAAAAACUGGUUUAAAUGUUAAAAUCAAUAAAAAAAGUUUUUGUGACACUUUUAGGCCUGUUUGAACUUUUCAUUGUUGUGAAAGCUUUUUAUCAACACUGUCCCAUCUGUGACUCUUAAUGGAUUCUCCCAACAAACCAAUCAGUGGU